GUAGUCUGCACAGAUGCAUAUCAAUAAGCGGAGGAAAAGAAACUAACAAGGAUUCCCCUAGUAACGGCGAGUGAAGCGGGAAGAGCUCAAAUUUGAAAUCUUAAAGGGUUUCCCUUUACGAAUUGUAGUUUAAAGAAGUGUUUUCUGUUGAGGUUUUGGUAAAAGUUCUUUGGAAUAGGACAUCAUAGAGGGUGAGAAUCCCGUAUUUGACCUUUACUUUCAACUUUGUGAUACACUUUCAAAGAGUCGGAUUGUUUGGGAAUGCAGUCCAAAAUGGGUGGUGAAUUUCAUCUAAAGCUAAAUAUUGGCGAGAGACCGAUAGCGAACAAGUACCGUGAGGGAAAGAUGAAAAGAACUUUGAAAAGAGAGUUAAACAGUACGUGAAAUUGUCAAAAGGGAAGCGUUUGACACCAGUGUUGUUUUUCUGAAAAUCAAUUAAAGAACUGUUUAUGCUAAGUUGUUUAGACUUUAUCAGCUAACUGUUUAGUUUUGAGCUUUUCUUUAAUGCACUUUUCAGUUAACAAGUCAACAUCAAUUUCUUUUGCUGUAAAAGAGCUUGAGGAAGGUGGCUUGAGAUUCGUCUUAAGUGUUUAUAGCCUCUUGCCUAUGCAGUCGGAGAGAUUGAGGUCUGCAGCGUAGAUCCUCCGGGGCUAAAUGCAUUUGUGCUAAGUUAUAGCAUUUUAUAGACAACUUGUUGACUAUGAUUUGUCUUGUAGCUUACUCGCUUAUGUUAUUUUACCUACGCUUAGGAUGUUGACAGCAGUAUAGACUGU
rnacentral:rRNA from 1 species